UUUACACAUGCUCUCUCUCUCUCUCUCUGUGGUUGCCAUGUGUGUGGUUUUACACAUGCUCUCUCUCUCUCUCGCUCUCUCUCUCUCUGUGGUUGCCAGGUGUGUGGUUUUACACAUGCUCUCUCUCUCUGUGGUUGCCAGGUGUGUGGUUUUACACAUGCUCUCUCUCUCUCUCUGUGGUUGCCAGGUGUGUGCUUUUACACAUGCUCUCUCUCUCUCUCUCUCUCUCUCUCUCUCUGUGGUUGCCAGGUGUGUGCUUUUACACAUGCUCUCUCUCUCUCUCUCUGUGGUUGCCAGGUGUGGUUUUACACAUGCUCUCUCUCUCUCUCUCUGUGGUUGCCAUGUGUGUGGUUUUACACAUGCUCUCUCUCUCUGUGGUUGCCAGGUGUGUGGUUUUACACAUGCUCUCUCUCUCUCUCUGUGGUUGCCAGGUGUGUGGUUUUACACAUGCUCUCUCUCUCUCUCUCUCUCUGUGGUUGCCAGGUGUGUGGUUUUACCCAUCCUCUCUCUGAAUACAUCCCCACCGCCUCACUUAAUAGUCUUUAUGUGGAUC
ensembl:lncRNA